rnacentral:tRNA from 1 species
AUUAUUUUAGUAAAAAUUGAUUAUGUUACCUUGAUGAGGUUUAGUUCUUUGGAGAUAAUA